rnacentral:rRNA from 1 species
GACGAACAGUGCGAGCGUUAUUCGGAUUUACUGGGCGUACAGGGAGCGUAGGCGGUUGGAUAAGCCCUCCGUGAAAUCUCCAGGCUUAACCUGGAAAGUGCAGAGGGGACUGUUCAGCUAGAGGAUGGGAGAGGAGCGCGGAAUUCCCGGUGUAGCGGUGAAAUGCGUAGAGAUCGGGAGGAAGGCCGGUGGCGAAGGCGGCGCUCUGGAACAUUUCUGACGCUGAGGCUCGAAAGCGUGGGGAGCAAACAGG